rnacentral:tRNA from 1 species
GCGAGUAUCAUAUAGAGGCUUAAUAUGCUGUCCUUCCAAGUCGGUCACAUCGGUUCGAAUCCGAUUACUCGCUC